rnacentral:rRNA from 1 species
UACGAAGGGGGCUAGCGUUGCUCGGAAUCACUGGGCGUAAAGCGCACGUAGGCGGACUCUUAAGUCGGUGGUGAAAUCCUGGAGCUCAACUCCAGAACUGCCUUCGAUACUGAGAGUCUCGAGUCCGGGAGAGGUGAGUGGAACUGCGAGUGUAGAGGUGAAAUUCGUAGAUAUUCGCAAGAACACCAGUGGCGAAGGCGGCUCACUGGCCCGGUACUGACGCUGAGGUGCGAAAGCGUGGGGAUCAAACAGG